UACGUAGGGACCAAGCGUUGUUCGGAAUUACUGGGCGUAAAGGGCGCGUAGGCGGCCGUUUGCGUCGGAUGUGAAAGCCCGGGGCUCAACCCCGGAACGGCAUCCGAUACGGGACGGCUGGAGACCGGGAGAGGAGGGUGGAAUAGCCAGUGUAGAGGUGAAAUUCGUAGAUAUUGGCUGGAACACCGGUGGCGAAAGCGGCUCUCUGGCCCGGUUCUGACGCUGAGGCGCGAAAGCGUGGGGAGCAAACAGG
rnacentral:rRNA from 1 species